AAAAGCGACGGGAUGAUGCUUAUAAAGCUGCAAAAAAGAAAACUGGCAUAUAUGAUAAUAAGUUCAAUGAUGACCCCUCUAUGGAUAAGAAAAUACUUCCACAAUAUGAUGAUCCAGCUGCAGAAGAGGCACAAGACCUUGUUGAAAUGCUGGUAGAGCUGUGGGAUCUUAUAGAUACACCAAUUGAUAUGUAAAAGGCCUUUAAUCAUAUUACUAAAGUAAUGUCA